rnacentral:rRNA from 1 species
AGCACGCCGCGGUGAAUACGUUCCCGGGCCGUUGUACACACCGCCCGUCACACCAUGGAAGUCUGCAAUGCCCGAAGCCGGUGGCCUAACCACUUAUGUGGAAGGAGCCGUCUAAGGCAGGGCAGAUGACUGGGGUGAAGUCGUAACAAGGUAUC